GAUGAACGCUAGCGGCAGGCUUAAUACAUGCAAGUCGAGGGACAGCACAGGUAGCAAUACUGGGUGGUAACCGGCAAACGGGUGCGGAACACGUACACAACCUUCCUUUAAGUGGGGGAUAGCCCAGAGAAGUUUGGAUUAAUACCCCGUAAUAUAGUUGAAUGGCAUCAUUUGAUUAUUAUAGCUACGGCGCUUAAUGAUGGGUGUGCGGCUGAUUAGAUAGUUGGCGGGGUAACGGCCCACCAAGUCUACGAUCAGUAGCUGAUGUGAGAGCAUGAUCAGCCACACGGGCACUGAGACACGGGCCCGACUCCUACGGGAGGCAGCAGUAAGGAAUAUUGGUCAAUGGACGCAAGUCUGAACCAGCCAUGCCGCGUGAAGGAUUAAGGUCCUCUGGAUUGUAAACUUCUUUUAUUUGGGACGAAAAAGGGCCUUUCUAGGUCAACUGACGGUACCAGAUGAAUAAGCACCGGCUAACUCCGUGCCAGCCGCCGCUGUAACAC
rnacentral:rRNA from 1 species